rnacentral:rRNA from 1 species
CAGUCGCCGCGGGAAUACGGAGGGGGCUAGCGUUGUUCGGAAUUACUGGGCGUAAAGCGCACGUAGGCGGCUUGGUAAGUUAGAGGUGAAAGCCCGGAGCUCAACUCCGGAAUUGCCUUUAAGACUGCCGAGCUAGCAGGUGAGAGAGGUAAGUGGAAUUCCGAGUGUAGAGGUGAAAUUCGUAGAUAUUCGGAAGAACACCAGUGGCGAAGGCGGCUUACUGGCUCAUACUGGACGCUGAGGUGCGAAAGCGUGGGGAGCAAACAGGAUUAGAUACCCCUGUAGUCCCUGUCUCUUAUAC